CUGAAGAUUCAGUUAGCAAACUACCAGACUCAGGGAAGGAAUCUACUCUACUUUCUCUCUAAUAUCGUUGGAGCAACCUGAAGACAGGAACUUGGCCUCAAGAAAAUAGGAAUACCUGAGCAUGUUUGGAGGCUGCUGUGUAACAACCAGGCGAACAAGAUAGAUGCAAGGUGUGCAAGAAAGGAUAAGUGAGAUUGCAAGAAAGGAAGGUGGAUGGAGCUUCUGCAUUCUUCAGAGAAUGAAGAAAUGAAGUCAUCAAAAAUUGCCACAGCCACCCCAACCUGAGCAGCCACCAUCCUGAUCAGUCAGCAGCCAUCAACAUCAAGACAAGACCAUCCACCAGGAAAAAGAUUAUGACUUCCUA